rnacentral:rRNA from 1 species
UCUGAGUGAUUUCCGUUAAGGAGAUCUUUUGGCACCUCUAAAAAUGGUGCAGAAUAAGGGGUGGGCAAGUCUGGUGUCAGCCGCCGCGGUAAUACCAGCACCCCGAGUGGUCGGGACGUUUAUUGGGCCUAAAGCAUCCGUAGCCGGUUCUACAAGUCUUCCGUUAAAUCCACCUGCUUAACAGAUGGGCUGCGGAAGAUACUAUAGAGCUAGGAGGCGGGAGAGGCAAGCGGUACUCGAUGGGUAGGGGUAAAAUCCGUUGAUCCAUUGAAGACCACCAGUGGCGAAGGCGGCUUGCCAGAACGCGCUCGACGGUGAGGGAUGAAAGCUGGGGGAGCAAACCGGAUUAGAUACCCGGGUAGUCCCAGCUGUAAACGAUGCAGACUCGGUGAUGAGUUGGCUUCUUGCCAACUCAGUGCCGCAGGGAAGCCGUUAAGUUUGCCGCCUGGGGAGUACGGUCGCAAGACUGAAACUUAAAGGAAUUGGCGGGGGAGCACCACAAGGGGUGAAGCCUGCGGUUCAAUUGGAGUCAACGCCGGGAAUCUUACCGGGGGCGACAGCAGAAUGAAGGUCAAGCUGAAGACUUUACCAGACAAGCUGAGAGGAGGUGCAUGGCCGUCGCCAGCUCGUGCCGUGAGGUGUCCUGUUAAGUCAGGUAACGAGCGAGACCCCUGCUUCUAGUUGCUACUCCUGUUCUCCGGAAUAGGAGGGCUAAUUAGAAGGACUGCCCCCCUAUAAGGCGGAAGAAAGAAGGGGGCUACGGCAGGUCAGUAUGCCCCGAAACCCUCGGGCCACACGCGGGCUGCAAUGGUAAGUACAAUGGGUACCAAUUCCGAAAGGAGGUGGCAAUCUCGCAAAACUUACCUCAGUUAUGAUUGAGGGCUGAAACUCGCCCUCAUGAAUAUGGAAUCCCUAGUAACCGCGUGUCAUCAUCGCGCGGUGAAUACGUCCCUG